UGGCAGGCAGGAGCUGGGCCUGCCAAAGCGGCCGAAAGGCAGGAGCUUUCGACUGGGGAGGCCGCAGUGAGGCGAGAGCUAGCUGGGCGUGGAGAGUCCGCUGUGAGGCUGAGGCUGGGCCCGUGCAGGCCUUCGAGAGGCAGGAAGCCGGGCCUGCAAAGGCCGACUGGAGGUCAAGUUCUGGGCCUGAAGAGGCCACCAAAAGUCAAAAGCGGGGCCUGGGAAGGCUGCUGAGAGCCAUGAGCUGGGCUGGGCCAAAAGAGGCCACUGGGAGGCAGGAGGAGCUGGGCCUGGAGAGGCUGACUCGAGGAAGUUUUGCACCUGGAGAGGCCAAGAGGACGGAGCUGGGCCCAGGGAGGCCAACUUGCAGCUCUUCCAGGCCCACUUCCAGGCCGACUUGAGGACAACUUAGAGUCCGCUGUGAGGCUGAGGCUGGGCCUGUGCAGGCCUUCGGGAGGCAGGAGGCCGGGAAGGCCGCCGGGAGGCAUGAGCUGGGCUGGGCCGAAAGAGGCCGCUGGGAGGCAGGAGGAGCUGGGCCUGGAGAGGCUGACUCGAGGAACUUUUGCACCUGGAGCGGCCGCCGAGAGGCCGGAGCUGGGCCUGGGGAGGCCGACUUGAGGACGACUUGGGCCUGCAGAGGGCACCGGGAGGCAGGAGCUGGCCCUGGACAGGCCGACUUGACAACAGUCUGGGCCUGCAGAGGCCGCCGGGAGGAAGAGCUGGGCCUGGAGAGGCCGACUGGAGGAAGUCCAGAGCCUGGAGAGGAUGCAAAGCAGCAAACGCUAGGCCUGGAAAGGCUGCCCUGAGGCACGGGCUUGGCCUACAGAGGCCACUGGGAGGCAGGAGCUGGGCCCGCAGAGGCUCCCGAGAGCGGGGAGCAUUGCCCCAGGAGGCCACGGUGAGAAAGAGGUGGGCCUGGAGAGCCCACUGUGAGGUAGAGGCUGGGCCUGUAGAGGCCGCCGACAGGCAGGGGCUGGGCCCGUUGAGGCCACGAGAGGCAUGAGCUGAGCCUCAAGAGGCCAGUGUGAGGCAGGAGCUGACACUUGGGCAGGUUGCAAGAGGCAUGAGUUGGGCGAAAAGAGGCCACCGUGAGGGAGGAGCUGGGCCCGUACAAGUUGCCGAAAGGCAGGCGCAGCUUUGGACUGGAGAGGCAGCAGACAGGGAAGAGCUGGGCAUGGAGAGUCUGCUGUGAGGCAGAGGCUGGGCCUGUACAUGCCCUCGGGAAGCAGGAGGCUGGGCCUGGAGAGGCCGACUUGAGGCAGUUUUGCUCCUGCAGAGGCCACUUACAGACAAGAGCUGGGUGUGAAGAGGCUGACUUGAGGUCGAUUUUGGCCUGCAGAAGCCACCGGUAGCUAGGAGUUGGCCCUGGAGAGGCUGACUUGAGGACAAUUUUGGCCUGUAGAGGCCACUGGGAGGGAGAGCUUGGUCUGGAGAGGCUGACUGGAGAAAGUUCUGGGCCUGGAGAG
rnacentral:lncRNA from 1 species